GUAAUAAUAGUAUUAUAGUACGUUUAAUUUCCAAUUAAAAAUAGAAUAAAAUAAUUUAUUUU
rnacentral:tRNA from 1 species